rnacentral:rRNA from 1 species
UACGUAGGGUGCAAGCGUUAAUCGGAAUUACUGGGCGUAAAGCGUGCGCAGGCGGUUGUGCAAGACAGAUGUGAAAUCCCCGGGCUUAACCUGGGAACUGCAUUUGUGACUGCAAGGCUAGAGUGUGUCAGAGGGAGGUGGAAUUCCGCGUGUAGCAGUGAAAUGCGUAGAGAUGCGGAGGAACACCGAUGGCGAAGGCAGCCUCCUGGGGAUAACACUGACGCUCAUGCACGAAAGCGUGGGGAGCAAACAGG